rnacentral:rRNA from 1 species
UACGAGGGGUGCAAGCGUUGUUCGGAUUCAUUGGGCGUAAAGGGUGCGUAGGCGGCGCGGUAAGUCGGGUGUGAAAUCUCGGAGCUUAACUCCGAAACUGCAUUCGAUACUGCCGUGCUUGAGGACUGGAGAGGAGACUGGAAUUUACGGUGUAGCGGUGAAAUGCGUAGAUAUCGUAAGGAAGACCAGUGGCGAAGGCGGGUCUCUGGACAGUUCCUGACGCUGAGGCACGAAGGCCAGGGGAGCAAACGGG